GCAUUGGUGGUUCAGUGGUAGAAUUCUCGCCUGCCAUGCGGGAGACCCGGGUCCGAUUCCCGGCCAAUGCA
rfam:Danio rerio chromosome 4, GRCz11 reference primary assembly.